rnacentral:rRNA from 1 species
AUGGCUCAGAUUGAACGCUGGCGGCAGGCCUAACACAUGCAAGUCGAGCGGAUGACGGGAGCUUGCUCCUUGAUUCAGCGGCGGACGGGUGAGUAAUGCCUAGGAAUCUGCCUGGUAGUGGGGGACAACGUUUCGAAAGGAACGCUAAUACCGCAUACGUCCUACGGGAGAAAGCAGGGGACCUUCGGGCCUUGCGCUAUCAGAUGAGCCUAGGUCGGAUUAGCUAGUUGGUGGGGUAAUGGCUCACCAAGGCGACGAUCCGUAACUGGUCUGAGAGGAUGAUCAGUCACACUGGAACUGAGACACGGUCCAGACUCCUACGGGAGGCAGCAGUGGGGAAUAUUGGACAAUGGGCGAAAGCCUGAUCCAGCCAUGCCGCGUGUGUGAAGAAGGUCUUCGGAUUGUAAAGCACUUUAAGUUGGGAGGAAGGGCAGUAAGYUAAUACCUUGCUGUUUUGACGUUACCGACAGAAUAAGCACCGGCUAACUCUGUGCCAGCAGCCGCGGUAAUACAGAGGGUGCAAGCGUUAAUCGGAAUUACUGGGCGUAAAGCGCGCGUAGGUGGUUUGUUAAGUUGGAUGUGAAAGCCCCGGGCUCAACCUGGGAACUGCAUCCAAAACUGGCAAGCUAGAGUACGGUAGAGGGUGGUGGAAUUUCCUGUGUAGCGGUGAAAUGCGUAGAUAUAGGAAGGAACACCAGUGGCGAAGGCGACCACCUGGACUGAUAC